AAUUUUCAAAUUCUUGAUUUCUCCUUUUAGGAUGGAGAUUUCUCCUUUGAGAUCAGCAAUAGAUGGUUCUAUAGGUUUGUCGAAUCUUGACAUAACCUGUUUCAUGCUAAAAGGCUAAAUAAUCGGUUUGGGGGGCUUUUCUUCGUGAGAAAGCAUCAAUCGUUUGAGUUCUAGAAGAUACUUGCUUCUAGCCUCAUCAUCCUGGAUAUGUUCUAUAAUGUCAAAUAGGAUCUCUUUAGGAUUUCCGGAAAUGACAUUAAGGGUUUUCCUGGUGCAAGUGCAGAAAGCACCGUUACAGGCACAUUCUUGGCCUGAUUGGGAUUGAUCUGACUCAUAAGCAGCAUUGAUGAACUCCUCAUCGCUGUAGUCAUCACUUGAUGAGGUGUAGGAGGAUUCUGAAGAAUCAGGCGAGUCUUCCAUUAUAGAAAAUAAACUAGCUCUGGUUUCUUCUGAGAGGUCUAGCUGGUUUAUCUUCUUUUUCUUAUUAGACUUCCAAUCUUUUGCCCGGUGGCCCGUCUUGCCACAAGUCCAACAAGUAUCUUUAGCCUUAGAGGUUUUUCUUUUGGUAGAUUUUCUACUUGGUUUAUAAGAAUCUCGUUUGAAGGGUUUCUUACUAGAAGUAGCCUUCUUAUGAGGUUUGGAGGUCUUUUUCUUAUGCUUUUUGCCAGGGCUGGUGAAUCCAUAGUCUUGGCAGAAGGUUCCUAGUNN
rnacentral:lncRNA from 1 species